UACAUAGAUGUAUUGGUGGGCUUUGCUUCUUUAAUGGAAACUGUGGUAUGAGAGGCAGAAAUAAAAUGGAAACACCUGGGACAUUUUCCUAUAUCACAAGAUCGAACAGCAGUUAACAAUGUUUAAGAAAACAUUUUAUCCAAAGCAAUCAAUAUGCAAAUUUGAAUUGAAACAACCAGGUCAGAUAUGUGAAGGACUUUGGGAGACAUAACCACUAUUUGAAUCAUUUGGAGAGAGAGAAAUUGUCUGCCAUUUUUCAUCAGGUCAAGCACUCCUUCUUUCUUCUGCAAGACAGAGAGAUCUUAUAUAUGGCACAAAAAAGUCCUCUGGAGGAGUGUGAAUGAUAUAAAGAAUCAAUCUAAAGCAGAUGGGGUGGAAAUAUUGCAACAAGAUUCUGAGUAAGCUGAAUUCCACUGAAAAAGGAUCCAAACAGACCGAUCAUGCCUAGGAACUCCACCCGACUCAGGACAUCGGCUCCUGCCAUACAGCCCAUGCCCAGAAUGCAGACCACAAUGCCAAUGAAGUGUACCGCCUUGUACCGUAUCAGCAGGAAGAACCAAGAAAGUAAUAUCACAACGGGAAUGACAAAAC